rnacentral:rRNA from 1 species
UGCCAGCCGCCGCGGUAAUACAGAGGGUGCAAGCGUUAAUCGGAAUUACUGGGCGUAAAGGGUGCGUAGGUGGAUUCAUAAGUCAGAUGUGAAAGCCCUGGGCUUAACCUAGGAAUUGCAUCUGAUACUGUGAGUCUAGAGUAUGGUAGAGGAUAGUGGAAUUUCCGGUGUAGCGGUGAAAUGCGUAGAUAUCGGAAGGAACACCAGUGGCGAAGGCGACUAUCUGGGCCAAUACUGACACUGAGGCACGAAAGCGUGGGUAGCGAACAGGAUUAGAUA